rnacentral:misc_RNA from 1 species
GUAUUAAUUUUUUAAGCUUAAAAAGCUUAUGAAAUAAGACAUUCAAAACUUUUUAUAGGGUGUAUGAAAAAACAUAGACCAAUUCUUUGCAAAAUCGGCCUACAAAUGGUGCACAAGGGUGUAAAAUUUGGAAUGAGGUGUGCACAUAUCUAUAUAGAUCAGCUACAACCCCUUCAAAAAUUCAAUAAUGAUCCUUCCGCAGGUUCACCUACGGAAA